rnacentral:lncRNA from 1 species
GAUCGAUGGAGGCGGCGGCCGGCUUGGGCGUGGAGGCGGCGGCAGAUAAGUUUUUAAUUUUGUAAAAUUUUGAUAUUUGAUUUUGGGGAUUUAGAUGUUUUUAACUUUAUUAUAAAUAGGGCCGGCAGGUUUUUGUAGAUGGAGAGUUUUUGAAGUUUCUUAAUUUUUAUUUCCUCACAAUACAAAAUUUUUUAUCCUCUCUCUCGCUCCUUGUUCUUCUUCAUUUUAACAACAUAACUUUUACAACUACAUCAAAUUGUAACCUAC